UGGGGAAUAUUGCACAAUGGGCGCAAGCCUGAUGCAGCCAUGCCGCGUGUAUGAAGAAGGCCUUCGGGUUGUAAAGUACUUUCAGUCGGGAGGAAGGUGGUAAGGUUAAUAACCUUGGCGAUUGACGUUACCGACAGAAGAAGCACCGGCUAACUCCGUGCCAGCAGCCGCGGUAAUACGGAGGGUGCAAGCGUUAAUCGGAAUUACUGGGCGUAAAGCGCACGCAGGCGGUUGAUUGAGUCAGAUGUGAAAUCCCCGGGCUUAACCCGGGAAUUGCAUCUGAUACUGGUCAGCUAGAGUCUUGUAGAGGGGGGUAGAAUUCCAUGUGUAGCGGUGAAAUGCGUAGAGAUGUGGAGGAAUACCGGUGGCGAAGGCGGCCCCCUGGACAAAGACUGACGCUCAGGUGCGAAAGCGUGGGGAGCAAACAGG
rnacentral:rRNA from 1 species